GAGCAGGCAUCAGGCACACAUUUGUAGCCCAAAACGCCUUGCUUAGCCACACCCCCAAGGGAACGCAGCAGUGACAAACAUUAAGCCAUGAGCGAAAGCUUGACUUAGUUAGGGUUGACAGGGCCGGUAAAACUCGUGCCAGCAACCGCGGUUACACGAGAGGCCCGAAUUGACACAUCACGGCGUAAAGUGUGAUUAGAGAUAAACCAGACUAGAGCCAAACACCCCUUAUGCUGUCAUACGCCAUGGGGGUCACGAAGAUCAACGACGAAGGUGGUUCUAAUAACCUAAUCUUGAACUCACGACAGCCAAGAUACAAACUGGGAUUAGAUACCCCACUAUGCUUGGCCUUAAACUAAGGCGAUAAACCUACAAACUUCGCCCGCCAGGGAACUACGAGCCCUAGCUUAAAACCCAAGGGACUUGGCGGUGCCUCAAACCCACCUAGAGGAGCCUGUCCUAUAACCGAUGAUCCCCGUUUAACCUCACCUCUCCUUGCCAAUCCCGCCUAUAUACCGCCGUCGCCAGUUUACCUUUUGAAAGAACAACAGUAAGCAAAACGGGUAUUACCCAACACGUCAGGUCGAGGUGUAGCGAAUGGAGGGGGAAGAGAUGGGCUACAUUUUCUGGCAACAGAACACUACGAAGAGCACAAUGAAAUGUGUGCGGCCGAAG
rnacentral:rRNA from 1 species